rnacentral:rRNA from 1 species
GACGAACGCUGGCGGCGUGCUUAACACAUGCAAGUCGAGCGAUGAAGUUCCUUCGGGAGUGGAUUAGCGGCGGACGGGUGAGUAACACGUGGGUAACCUGCCUCGUAGAGGGGAAUAGCCUUCCGAAAGGAAGAUUAAUACCGCAUAAGAUUGUAGCUUCGCAUGAAGCAGCAAUUAAAGGAGCAAUCCGCUAUGAGAUGGACCCGCGGCGCAUUAGCUAGUUGGUGAGGUAACGGCUCACCAAGGCGACGAUGCGUAGCCGACCUGAGAGGGUGAUCGGCCACAUUGGGACUGAGACACGGCCCAGACUCCUACGGGAGACAGCAGUGGGGAAUAUUGCACAAUGGGGGAAACCCUGAUGCAGCAACGCCGCGUGAGUGAUGACGGUCUUCGGAUUGUAAAACUCUGUCUUUAGGGACGAUAAUGACGGUACCUGAGGAGGAAGCCACGGCUAACUACGUGCCAGCCGCCGCCGUAA